AAACCACACAUCACUCGGUGUCGUGUUGGGUAGUUUACACAAAGAGUCUCUAUCAUUACUGCAGCCGCCUGCACGUUCCCCUUUCAAAACCCCAACCGAGUGACAUUUCAGCAGAACGGUUAAAGGAACUUAAUUUUUAAAUAAAAAGUUACUGCUGGAAACCAGUACAUUACAUACUAGCUCUGCCCCAAGUUCCAAGUAUGGUCACGUCUGAAUAAUUCCAACCUUUUAGUGACGGGGAUUAUAUAGGCCAGUCACUACUUUACACCCCCAAAUCUCCACAACUUUUUCUAUCUUUAGUCUUCAGUCUAUUUACCUCGCUAUAUGGAGGAGUGGUGAAAAUGAAAUGCAACAAAAACAAUUUGAAUAGCUUUUAACAGCUGGUAUAAAAGUUUAUGGCAGACACAGCCUGCAAUCAUUGAAAAUAAGAUUUGAAAAUUAUCUGUAGACCUCACUCUUCAGUUUUGCCGUUUUGCUUGAGUUUGAAUUACAGAAGGUUGGUGGUAUGUAUUAUUUUUAGCAGAAAUACUUUUCUAAGAAUUAUUAAACAGAUUAAAUGUAUAAUAUGGUUAUGAUAUCAGAUCAGGGUAAAACUCCAUUUACAGAAGAAUGUGUUAACCACCUGAUAGGAGACACGUCCUUUUGGUGUAGUACAAUUGGUUGUGUCUUAGAAUUUAAAUACUAGAAAAAGGUAACUUAGAAAACAUUACAGAAUCUUUAUAGUCCUACCUGCCAUCUAAUGAGAAUACUGCCUUCUUAGCACCCUAUUUCUUUCAAUUGCUACUUAUAAGAUGUAAUUUCAAGAUUGCUCAAAGCUUAUGGAUAUUUGUUCAUAAGUAUUUAAUGAGGUCUCAAAAACUGCCUGGCAUUGACCUUGGUGCAGGUGAUGUAAGAGUGAACUAGAUAGAGAGAUGUAAGUCCUCCCUUCCAGGAGCUCACAUUCUAAUGGGGGAGAGAUAGCUACUAAAUAGACAAGUGCAGACAUAAUUAAUGCACCUAUGAAAAGUUGUAUGUGGAAGUAUGGAGUGCUAGGAGAGGACACCCUCCAAAUGGUCUUUUAGAUUGCUAUUUUGUUUUGAACCCUAGAAUUAUUGCAAUGCUGCAAAGAUUUUUUUUUUUUGCUAUCCUUUCUUUCAUAUCUCAUAUUCAGUUCAUCAGGAAAUCCUGAUAGCUCCAGCUUCAAAAUGUUUUCCAAGUCUAACCCCAACUACCCCUCUUCCAAACCAGCAGUGCCCAUUUGGAUUUCUGAAAAAGGCUCUGAACUUGUCUUACUGCUCUUAAUCUUGCCCCUAUGGUCUAUUAUCCAUGUAGAAUUUUGGAUGACCCUUUAAAAGUGUGUGUAUUAGCUCAUGCCAAUCCUCUGCUCAAAAAGCACCCCAUGGCUUCCCAUCACUCAGUCACUUUCCAUGGUGACAGUUCAAACUUGACCUUAGCCACCAAGGCCUUACAUGUCUGCCACCCCACCUCUCUUUACCUCUUUCUCCAUCACUGUCCCCUCCCCAGUCCUGCCACCCUCACUGGCCUUUCUGCUGUUCUUUCAUCCCUUAGGCUCCUGCAUCUUGGUCGUUGAGCCUGAGACACUUUCUCUAAAUAUUUAGAGGCUUGCUCCUCCGUAACAUCAGAUAUUUUCUCCCUUGUCCUCAUGUCAGAGAGGUAAUCCCUGACCACCUAUUCUAAUAUAAUAUACAUGUGCACACAUGCAUGUGCAUGCACACACACACAUACACAUGCAUACAUUUAUUGUUUGCUGUGUCUCCUCUAAAAUGAGAACAACAAUGGUUAUAGUGUCAUGCACAUAGAAGACAAAACAUAAAUAUUUGUUGAAAGAAAGCAUAUAAAUUAUGUAGUGGACUGAAUGUCUCCCCAAAAUUCCUAUGUUGAAGCUCUAACCUCCAGCGUGACCAUAUUUGGAAAUAAGGUCUUUAUGGAAGUAAUUAAGGUUAAUGAGGUUAUAAUUGAAGGGCCCUGAUCUGAUAGGAUUAGUGUCUUCAUAAGAAGAGACACUGGAGAGCUCGCUCUAGUACUUAGGAAAGGCCAUAUGAACACACAGUGAGAUGGCAAUGGUCUGCAAACCAGGAAGAGAAUUCUUACCAGGAACUAAGCCCACAGGCAACUUGAUCUUGGACUCCCCAAAUUCUAGAACUGUGAGAAACAUAUUUCUGUUGUUUAAGUCAUCCCAUCUAUGGUAUUUUGUUAUGGCAGCGUCAGCAGACUAAGACAAAUUAUGAAGAAUGUUAAAGAAAGAGUUUAGAUACCAUCUACACUCAUACAUUAUAUUAUAUAUUAUAGCUAAUCAUUUCAAGAUUACUAAUGCACAAAAUGGUGUGAUGGUGUAACUUUUAGCCAAUGAACAAACUUUGGAGCACCUCCAAGGAUCAUUGAGGUUUGAAGAUUAAUCUUACCUGGACACAAGAAUAGAGUUAAGUAUUUAACACAAACAAAUGCCUUUUAUAACUUUGUUGUUGUUUGUUUCUGAGGGCAUGAAUGACUGAAGCUCGAAGGAAUAAGAAUGGUCUAGUCACUAUCGUGAAAAGUGCUGUUUCAAGAGAGUACAGCCUCUAAACUCCAUAAAAGUUUCCUACUGGUCAAGCUGAAGGACUCUUAAGCUGUGGUGUGCCUAGAACAUAAUCAUGGCCCAUUGAUAUUCAAGUAAAGUAGCAGAUGCUUCAGCUGGAAAAUCUUUAAUCUUUGUGGAAAGAAAUUGAACUUUAAACCUUACACACUGAAAAGAAAAAAAAACUGCUAAGGACAGAUGAAAUUUCUUCUGGGCUCUCUGUUUUCUGCAUCAGCUGUGGACCUUCAUCCUGGCCACUAGGGGACUUUGGUUUUGAUCAUAUUACAAAGAUCUGGCAAUUAAUUAGCAUGAACAGAGUUGUUAAGCAGUUGCAUAAAGAGCUCGCAGUGUUAUAAUCCAUGUUCUUUUAUCUCAAAAAAUUUCUGAGUAGAUGUGUGAUCCACAAGGAUACAUGAUCUGUUAACUCUGAGAAUGAUCACUGAUGACCUGGAGAUUUGUUAGUAUUUGGGGAAGUGUCAGCUAUAUUGGCAACAUUCUUCAAAGAAGCCGUGGUCUCUAGUGGGCCUCAGUGGUAGCCAGACUAGAGAUGGUUUUGCUACUAUUCAAUUCCAUCUGUGGGGGUGGGGUAUGAUUAACAUGAUCCUUGAUUAACAAGAGGAAAGCUUCUCACCAGUAGAGUGGAAGAAACCCCCUUGGGAAGUAGAAGACAUAAUCAGAUUGCCUGGAAAUCAGGCUUUACAUGAACAGUUUAUGGAUGGUUUAUACAGAAAAUAAAAUAUUAAAUUAUCUCUCUUUGGGUAGAGAAUGCAAGGGAAUCACAUAGCACCUCCACAUUUACUUCUCCCAUUUUAGGACAAAUAUUUAGAAGAAGAAGAAGAAGAGGACCCAGCAUAUGAUGUUGCAGAACCAGUUUGGAGACAUAGCCCAAACAUUUAAUAAGAUCAGCCAGGCUUUACCUUAGGAGCCAGGAUGGGGAGGGACCAGGACUACCUCCAAAGGCUCAUUUGCUUCAGCCUGUGCUGUGGAGGUCUGCCUCCCACAAGCUGACUGUAUUGCCUGAUUUCUAAUUAGCUUUCCAACCACAGUCACAGCAUGAAUCUUGGAUCAAGGGUCUCAUCUCCCAGUAAUCUACUGUUAUUUUACUCACAACCUCUGCCUGAAGAACAUAUACCUUUCCUGACCAAUAGUUAUGCCCAUCCUGAGUCUGACAGGCAUGGUUUCCCUACAUGUAAGAAAUGUUUAUUGAUCACCUAAUAGAUGAAAUGCAAAUGUGAGCAGGAAACAGCCCCUAUAUUUGAGAUGCUUCUAGUCUGUGGGGUGGGGGUGGGGGCAAAGGUAAACAGGUAAUUAUAAUAGGAUGUACAAUAGUGGGGUAAACACUGUCAUAAGAACCCAUUGGAGGAGCACUCGUUUUAAUAUUAGGCUCUACUAAAUAGUUCAAAGCAGAACAACUUGCUUUAUUUCUGGUUUUCAAAAUGGCGGCCAUCAUGACUACUAUAUUUGGUUGACUAAGUUCAUUGGAUUCCAGUACCCCAUAGAUGGCUUCUCCCAUGACUCCUAGACCAGGGAAUAAUGGUGUAUGCAUUAGUUGCACACUGUGGAGGCGUCACCGCUCACAGAGUGGCUCCAGCUCCACUUACCUUUCUCUUUGCUAUAGGUGACUGCAGCACAGAUUAAAACUCCUUGGUAACAGCUAGCUGUUCUUUUUGGAGAAUCUGCAAAAGUAAAUCUUCCAUAUCAUGCAGAUAUGGAAGCAGGUGGAAACCCUAAAAGGCAGCCCCUACAGAGGGGGCUCCUUAGACUUCUGCUGUUGAGAGUCCCCACAUCUCAGCCCUGUUCUGCCCUUCCCAAUCCUUGUUCCUCAUCUUUAAUUCUGCAAGACACUCUGGUAUUCUUAUAGUAAUUUUUUAUGCUUGAAUUAUCCAUGUUUUGUGCUUGUAGACCAAGAAUGCUUAUGAUGUGCUUGAAUAUUCUUUAGCUCUAUUUGUGUAAUUUCAAAAAAUAUAUCACUUGUGUUCAGACAAUGCACACCAAUUUUGCUGCUGUUAGCUGUAAGUGCUGAGGAAUGUUUCUGACUUCCUACAACUCCAUCUCUUUAGACAGAAAAGCAGAAUUGAUAUCUCCUGGUUGCUAGGUUCAAAGGUCAGCUGAAGGCAGAAGUGGAAUCAAGACAUCUUCUAGAGCUUUCUCUGCUGCUUACUUUAUUCAAGGCUAAAGGAUUUGGGGGAGAAGAGGACCUAGUCCUUGUAUUUCACUUUGCUAGUGUUUCUUGGCAAGCCAGGACUCUUGCUCUUAACUUCUGAAACCGAUCUAGCUCUUAUGUUUGCCUUAGAUGGGCCAGGAGUCCCACCCACACUAACUCCCUAUAGAGCACCUCAGGUCUCUGCCUCUUUACUGGGAAACCUUCUUCUCUUCUCUGAGCUUUCUUAUAUCUGCCCUGUAUGUGUGUACGUGGAUUAUUCUAAUGAAAUGAUGACUGUGUUGAUUGUGAUAUGGCUCCUCUCCAAGAUGAUACCUCUGAAAUCACCCUUCUCACUGUCUUGCACUACAGCCUAUGGGCAAGUGGCAUUGUCCUCUAACUUUAGUCCAGCUCUUUGGACUCCCACCUGUUUAAGUAUCUUAAUGUUUUUAUAUAAACCACUAAAGUGGAAGCCAUCUGAGUAUCCAAAUCUUCUUCAUCUGGCAAGUCUUAUGUUCUCUUCCACCAAGAAAACCUACUGAAAAUACACUAGUGAUUAUACUAUGCAAUUCUGAAAUUCAUAGCAUUUAAAAAUACAUCAAUGGCUUUUUAAAAAAACAAAUCUGAAUCCCUUUCUUGAUAUGAAAUUCUAUGUGAAUUUCCACUAUAAAAAGUUAAAAAAAAAAACCCAGAAAACAAAAAACAAACACAAGAGUUACUCUGGCGGAGGUAGAAUCUAGGUUGUGGAUGGGGUGGAAGGGGGCUUGGCUGAAGUCCUACUCAUUAGGAGCUUCUCUUCUCUUCUGCUGCUGCCUUGGGAGCUCCCCCCACCUGAAUACUUGGGAUUACCUGGAGCACUGUUUCUAAACCACUGACCUUAAUAUCAUUCAUUUGGCAUUUAUUCAGUUACUGUCUUUAGACAAUUCUUACACUUCAGCCAUAUUAUUACAAUUUGCAUGGUCUUUUAAUUUUCCAAAUAUUUGUUUUGACUUCUCCACUAGAUCAUAAUCUCUUUGAGAGUAUGAAAAGUAUCUUAUGUCACAGGGGAGUCAAAUCAAAAUCCACAUAGACAAAAUCAGUGCUCAGCUCAAGGACACCCUGUCAAUAAUUACUGAUCAAUUGCUAAUUCUGUCUGAUCUCUAACACUCAAGAGAGCAAACUAGUAGGAACCUAGACAUGAAUAGGUAGCAGAUCUAAGUAGCACAGCCAGGUGGUAAGUUGGGUUUUUCUUCUGUAAGAUUAAGAUAUUGACCCCUUACUGCUGACAUUCUUCUAAAGAAUGCUAUCAGGCACAGUGAGUCAGAAGUGUGUACUUCUUAUUGAUGACAGUGUUUGCUUGUUACUGGACUGAUAUGCUCAUCAAAGACUGAGAGCACAGCUCCACCUGUUAUUCCAGGUGUGACAUUCAUGUCAGCAAAGUUUCCAAUCACAAGCAGAAGUGAAAGCAAAUGCAAUUUCUGCUCAGUACACAAGAAACCAGAAAAGAUAUAGGAAACCCAACCCCCUUAUCAAAGCUGGCAGUGUGACUAAUUACAUGGAGAAUGAAUGGGCAAUAUUAUGUGCAACACUUCAACAGUCAGUUUGGGGUGAAAUUUUUCAUUCUGUUCAUUGGUGUUACCACUGAUUAAUAGCCAGCAUGACUCAAAAAAUGUGUUUGUAUCCACAGUAGUUGGCUGACUCACAUGAUUGAGUGUUAUUUAUCCAACAUACACUAUCUGAUGAUAGUUGUAUUUUUCAAUAUGCUUUAUAAUCAGAAACUACUUGUUUCUCUCAAUGUGCACUGAAUGCUUUAUAAAGGAAGAAUAAGCUUAUAUAAUAUCUACUAUAGAAACGGAGUUUUAAAAUUAAUAUCUGUGUUAAAGCUCUGAAUGAUUAUUUAAAUAAAGUUAAAACUAACUUGA